rnacentral:rRNA from 1 species
AUUGAACGCUGGCGGCAGGCCUAACACAUGCAAGUCGAGCGAGCGGAGGACGGGUGAGUAAUGUAUGGGGACUGCCCGAUAGAGGGGGAUAACUACUGGAAACGGUGGCUAAUACCGCAUACUAUCGGAUAACCCAUAGGGGAUUAGCUAGUAGGUAAGGGAAUGGCUUACCUAGGCGACGAUCCCUAGCUGGUCUGAGAGGAUGAUCAGCAACACUGGAACUGAGACACGGCCCAGACUCCUAAGGAGGCAGCAGUGGGGAAUAUGGCACAAUGGGCGCAAGCCUGAUGCAGCCAUGCCGCGUGUAUGAAGAAGGCCCUAGGGUUGUAAAGUACUUUCAGUCGGGAGGCGUUACCGACAGAAGAAGCACCGGCUAACUCCGUGCCAGCAGCCGCGGUAAUAC